CCGGCGAUUUCCGAAUGGGGAAACCCAGUGUGUUUCGACACACUAUCAUUAACUGAAUCCAUAGGUUAAUGAGGCGAACCGGGGGAACUGAAACAUCUAAGUACCCCGAGGAAAAGAAAUCAACCGAGAUUCCCCCAGUAGCGGCGAGCGAACGGGGAGGAGCCCAGAGCCUGAAUCAGUGUGUGUGUUAGUGGAAGCGUCUGGAAAGGCGCGCGAUACAGGGUGACAGCCCCGUACACAAAAAUGCACAUAUUGUGAGCUCGAUGAGUAGGGCGGGACACGUGGUAUCCUGUCUGAAUAUGGGGGGACCAUCCUCCAAGGCUAAAUACUCCUGACUGACCGAUAGUGAACCAGUACCGUGAGGGAAAGGCGAAAAGAACCCCGGCGAGGGGAGUGAAAAAGAACCUGAAACCGUGUACGUACAAGCAGUGGGAGCCUCUUUAUGGGGUGACUGCGUACCUUUUGUAUAAUGGGUCAGCGACUUAUAUUCUGUAGCAAGGUUAACCGAAUAGGGGAGCCGAAGGGAAACCGAGUCUUAACUGGGCGUUAAGUUGCAGGGUAUAGACCCGAAACCCGGUGAUCUAGCCAUGGGCAGGUUGAAGGUUGGGUAACACUAACUGGAGGACCGAACCGACUAAUGUUGAAAAAUUAGCGGAUGACUUGUGGCUGGGGGUGAAAGGCCAAUCAAACCGGGAGAUAGCUGGUUCUCCCCGAAAGCUAUUUAGGUAGCGCCUCGUGAAUUCAUCUCCGGGGGUAGAGCACUGUUUCGGCAAGGGGGUCAUCCCGACUUACCAACCCGAUGCAAACUGCGAAUACCGGAGAAUGUUAUCACGGGAGACACACGGCGGGUGCUAACGUCCGUCGUGAAGAGGGAAACAACCCAGACCGCCAGCUAAGGUCCCAAAGUCAUGGUUAAGUGGGAAACGAUGUGGGAAGGCCCAGACAGCCAGGAUGUUGGCUUAGAAGCAGCCAUCAUUUAAAGAAAGCGUAAUAGCUCACUGGUCGAGUCGGCCUGCGCGGAAGAUGUAACGGGGCUAAACCAUGCACCGAAGCUGCGGCAGCGACACUAUGUGUUGUUGGGUAGGGGAGCGUUCUGUAAGCCUGUGAAGGUGGCCUGUGAGGGUUGCUGGAGGUAUCAGAAGUGCGAAUGCUGACAUAAGUAACGAUAAAGCGGGUGAAAAGCCCGCUCGCCGGAAGACCAAGGGUUCCUGUCCAACGUUAAUCGGGGCAGGGUGAGUCGACCCCUAAGGCGAGGCCGAAAGGCGUAGUCGAUGGGAAACAGGUUAAUAUUCCUGUACUUGGUGUUACUGCGAAGGGGGGACGGAGAAGGCUAUGUUGGCCGGGCGACGGUUGUCCCGGUUUAAGCGUGUAGGCUGGUUUUCCAGGCAAAUCCGGAAAACCAAGGCUGAGGCGUGAUGACGAGGCACUACGGUGCUGAAGCGACAAAUGCCCUGCUUCCAGGAAAAGCCUCUAAGCAUCAGGUAACAUCAAAUCGUACCCCAAACCGACACAGGUGGUCAGGUAGAGAAUACCAAGGCGCUUGAGAGAACUCGGGUGAAGGAACUAGGCAAAAUGGUGCCGUAACUUCGGGAGAAGGCACGCUGAUAUGUAGGUGAAGCGACUUGCUCGUGGAGCUGAAAUCAGUCGAAGAUACCAGCUGGCUGCAACUGUUUAUUAAAAACACAGCACUGUGCAAACACGAAAGUGGACGUAUACGGUGUGACGCCUGCCCGGUGCCGGAAGGUUAAUUGAUGGGGUUAGCGGUAACGCGAAGCUCUUGAUCGAAGCCCCGGUAAACGGCGGCCGUAACUAUAACGGUCCUAAGGUAGCGAAAUUCCUUGUCGGGUAAGUUCCGACCUGCACGAAUGGCGUAAUGAUGGCCAGGCUGUCUCCACCCGAGACUCAGUGAAAUUGAACUCGCUGUGAAGAUGCAGUGUACCCGCGGCAAGACGGAAAGACCCCGUGAACCUUUACUAUAGCUUGACACUGAACAUUGAGCCUUGAUGUGUAGGAUAGGUGGGAGGCUUUGAAGUGUGGACGCCAGUCUGCAUGGAGCCGACCUUGAAAUACCACCCUUUAAUGUUUGAUGUUCUAACGUUGGCCCGUAAUCCGGGUUGCGGACAGUGUCUGGUGGGUAGUUUGACUGGGGCGGUCUCCUCCUAAAGAGUAACGGAGGAGCACGAAGGUUGGCUAAUCCUGGUCGGACAUCAGGAGGUUAGUGCAAUGGCAUAAGCCAGCUUGACUGCGAGCGUGACGGCGCGAGCAGGUGCGAAAGCAGGUCAUAGUGAUCCGGUGGUUCUGAAUGGAAGGGCCAUCGCUCAACGGAUAAAAGGUACUCCGGGGAUAACAGGCUGAUACCGCCCAAGAGUUCAUAUCGACGGCGGUGUUUGGCACCUCGAUGUCGGCUCAUCACAUCCUGGGGCUGAAGUAGGUCCCAAGGGUAUGGCUGUUCGCCAUUUAAAGUGGUACGCGAGCUGGGUUUAGAACGUCGUGAGACAGUUCGGUCCCUAUCUGCCGUGGGCGCUGGAGAACUGAGGGGGGCUGCUCCUAGUACGAGAGGACCGGAGUGGACGCAUCACUGGUGUUCGGGUUGUCAUGCCAAUGGCACUGCCCGGUAGCUAAAUGCGGAAGAGAUAAGUGCUGAAAGCAUCUAAGCACGAAACUUGCCCCGAGAUGAGUUCUCCCUGAGACUUAGAGUCUCCUGAAGGAACGUUGAAGACGACGACGUUGAUAGGCCGGGUGUGUAAGCGCAGCGAUGCGUUGAGCUAACCGGUACUAAUGAACCGUGAG
rnacentral:rRNA from 1 species